rnacentral:rRNA from 1 species
GACGAACGCUGGCGGCGUGCCUAAUACAUGCAAGUAGAACGCAGUUGCGAACGGGUGAGUAACGCGUAGGUAACUGCCUCAUAGCGGGGGAUAACUAUUGGAAACGAUAGCUAAUACCGCAUACUGUGAGAUGUACCUUCGUUGUAUUAGUUAGUUGGUGAGGUAAAGGCUCACCAAGGCGACGAUCCCUAGCUGGUUUGAGAGGAUGACCAGCCACACUGGGACUGAGACACGGCCCAGACUCCUACGGGAGGCAGCAGUGGGGAAUAUUGGACAAUGGGGGAAAGCCUGAUGCAGCCAUCCCGCGUGUGCGAUGAAGGCCUUCGGGUUGUAAAGCACUUUUGGCAGGGAAGCGGUACCUGCAGAAGAAGCACCGGCUAACUACGUGCCAGCAGCCGCGGUAAUAC